rnacentral:piRNA from 1 species
UUACAAUAAAGGCGUCUUCUGAAGG